rnacentral:lncRNA from 10 species
GUCUCGCUCUGUUGCCCAGGCUGCAGUGCACUGAUGUCAUCUCGGCUCACUGCAACCUCCGCCUCCCGGGUUCAAGCAAUUCUCCUGCCUCAACCUCCUGAGUGGCUGAGAUUACGGGUGUGCACCACCACACCCGACUAAUUUUUGUAUUUUUAGUAGAGACGGGGUUUCACCAUGUUGGUCAGGCUAGUCUUGAACUCUUGAUGUCGUGAUCCGCCCGCCUUGGCCUCCCAAAAUGCUGAGAUUACAGACCUGAGCCACCAGGCCCGGAAAUUUUUUUUUUUUUUUUAGACGAAGGCUUGCUCUGUUGCCCAGGCUGGAGUACAGUGGCAUGAUCUCGGCUCACUGCAAACUCCACCUCCCAGGUUCAAGCAAUUCUCCUGCCUCGGUCUCUCAAGUAGCUGGAAUUACAGGCAUGCACCACCAUACUUGGCUAAUUUUUGUAUUUUUAUAGAGACAGGGUUUCACCAUGUUGGCUAGAAUGGUCUCAAUCUGUUGACCUCGUGAUCUGCCUGCCUUGGCCUCCCAAAGUGCUGGGAUUACAUGCGUGACCCACCGCACCCGGCCCGAUUAACCAGACAUUUCAAGAAGGCGCUAUAAGGUACUGGCCUCAAUUUAAACCAAGUUUAAAUAGUUAUGUAUAUAAAUAUUGUGUAUAUAAAUAAGUGUGCUUAUUAAUUUUUAGAUGAUAACCACACUUGCCUCAUAGAAUUGUUAUGAAGAUUAAAUGAAUUCAUUCAUAAAAAGCACUUAAACUUUUGCCUAGCAUAUAAAUACUCAAACCACAAAUACAUUUCAAUUUUAUAAUCAGGAAGCUGACCAAUAGUUGAUACCUUAAAAAAUAAAAUUAAUAGUGAUGAACUUAAGGUCCUAUGACUGGCUCAAAAUUCAGUGGAAAAGCUCAGGGUGGGAAAGAAAUGGCUUAUCAAAAGCACAUAUACAAGGAAAAAUGAAACAUAACAAGAUUACAACACAGGACUAAAAAGAAUGUGAUGAGCAGACAUUCUUAUAAGCUGAGACUGCACUGAGCAGAUGAGCUUUUAGGAUAACUGAGGGGUAUCCCUGGGUCACCUUAUGUUGGUCAGACCUGAGGAGUGUUGCUUAGUGCAGGUGCCACAUUUUAAAUGACAGGCGAAGCAGACCAGGAGGAUAAAUAAAAUGGUAAUAUAUAAAAAUGGCUAAUACCACCACACGGAUGAUGCCUGAAAACAGUACCCCCUCAGUAAAAGAAAGCAGUCACAAAAGGCCACUUAUUAUAUGAUGCCAUUUAUAUGCAAUGUCCAGAAUAGGCAUAUCUAUAGAGACAAAAAGCAGAUGAGAGGUUGCCUAGGGCUGCUCAAUAAAAAUAAAAAUAAAGAACCUAAUUGGAUUGUAAAAGUGGCCUUUUAUCUCCCCAUCCACCCCAGAGAAGUUUAGGUAAUGCUCUCUCUCAUGUUUAGGGAAAAGAAGAAAGUGGGGUAUAAAGUUUGACUUUAAAUAAAGCUACAUAUUAUCUAAAAAGAAACAAAGUACUAAAUUUUAAAAGCCAUUUCAUUCAAACAAGACAAAAAAUAGGCUGG